rnacentral:rRNA from 1 species
UACGAAGGGGGCUAGCGUUGUUCGGAUUUACUGGGUGUAAAGCGCGUGUAGGCGGCAGGCCAAGUCGGUGGUGAAAGCGCCCGGCUCAACUGGGCGAGGUCCAUGGAAACUGGUCAGCUGGAGGACGGUAGAGGCGAGUGGAAUUCCCGGUGUAGUGGUGAAAUGCGUAGAUAUCGUAAGGAAGACCAGUGGCGAAGGCGGGUCUCUGGACAGUUCCUGACGCUGAGGCACGAAGGUCAGGGGAGCAAACGGG